AUUGAACGCUGGCGGCAGGCCUAACACAUGCAAGUCGAACGGUAACAGGAAGCAGCUUGCUGCUUCGCUGACGAGUGGCGGACGGGUGAGUAAUGUCUGGGAAGCUGCCUGAUGGAGGGGGAUAACUACUGGAAACGGUAGCUAAUACCGCAUAAUGUCGCAAGACCAAAGAGGGGGACCUUCGGGCCUCUUGCCAUCGGAUGUGCCCAGAUGGGAUUAGCUUGUUGGUGGGGUAACGGCUCACCAAGGCGACGAUCCCUAGCUGGUCUGAGAGGAUGACCAGCCACACUGGAACUGAGACACGGUCCAGACUCCUACGGGAGGCAGCAGUGGGGAAUAUUGCACAAUGGGCGCAAGCCUGAUGCAGCCAUGCCGCGUGUAUGAAGAAGGCCUUCGGGUUGUAAAGUACUUUCAGCGGGGAGGAAGGGAGUAAAGUUAAUACCUUUGCUCAUUGACGUACCCGCAGGAG
rnacentral:rRNA from 1 species